GCCCCGUUCGUCUAGCCAGGUCAAGGAUGCCGGCCUUUCGAGCCGGCGGCCCGGGUUCAAAUCCCGGACGGGGCA
rnacentral:tRNA from 1 species